AAAAGCGUAUGCAUGUUUAAAAAUGUUAAAUAGUUAAACAACACUUGCGGUGAAAAUAUGAAGUGUUUAUUCUGAGUUGAAAAGACCGUACUUAUAUCUAGUAUUCUUAAUGUAAUUUAAAUAAUGUAUUCCUUUACUAACUGCAUGUGACUUUGCUCUACUUAUAUUGUUUAAUACGUACUGAUGAAUUCAGCAGCGAAUUGGCUAAUGCUGCUAAUGCUUUUUACAUUUUUUUUUUCACAAUGAACAGUCUUCUUUGUGUAGUUUUCAUUAUAUUGCACUCUUAUUUUUCAUUAUGUACAUGCCUGCAAUUCGCAGCUCGCUGUUUUUGUUGUUGUAUGGUGUUGUUGUUUUGCCUUCAUUUGUUUUGUCUGGUCCUUUGUCGUUUGAAUGUUGUCACAUGAUCCAAAUAGGACAAGCUCCAAGAUCACCACCCCAUUGGGAAGAAACUAAAUCACGACCCCCAAAUGGUAGUCUUCCCAUGCAGAUACAGGGAUGUCACACAGAUCCAAAUGGAAACAUCGAACACAGUAAAACCCACGUGGCAGACAGGACCAAUGGUGACAAUAUAAGACCAUGCCGAGCUUCAUGGACGGUUCAAACUCAUCCUGCCCAGGAACGGCUGAAAACGUUGACAGUCAAUCAACAGGGGGACAUGGAAAGAGAGGAUUGGAAGUGAAAUAGAGGGUUUUCCGGGACAGCCAUAGGGGAAGGACUGUGGCAUCUUCAUGUUGAUGACUGAUAUGCCAACUCUGAGGAAGUGGUGGUGUAUAUUGCUAGCGGACAAUUUCAAACUUGGGUGCAUGCCACAGGAAAGAGUUUGCCCAUUGGACAGAUGAGGCAAAAGCAUUACUGCAGGGUGAAGUGCCACCAGUCCAUCAGUUACAGAAGUGAAAUUUGAAUAUAAUUGCUGAGGAAGAGGUGCAACCACAGCUCCUUCAAGUUAGUGGUGGCCCACUCCAAAAAGAUAUGGCGGGAAAAAAUGUUUUGGUAAAAGGAUUGUGCAAGACAGCACAAAAGCCUCGGACAGGGCUGGGGGGGGGGGGGAAAUCAAUGCAGUAGGAGUUCCCAAGCAUCCUGCAGAUGGAAGAGGAUGAGCACGAACUACAAUGUCUUGGAGCCAUUCAAGUUCUGUUUCAACCAUCUGGAAGAUGGAUUUACCUUUUUUGAGGAGAUUGUUGACUAAAGAAAAUAUCUAUUCUCUCAAUAAUAAUAAAAAAUAAUAAAACUAAAAAAAUAAAGUUUACCACAUCAGAACUGGUUGUAUUGAGUUCAUUUUUCUACACUUAUAAAUUAGUUGUUUUUUUUCUUUUAUCCCAGAUGUUAGUUGUAGGUAGUUUUAAUUACCUGUGAUGAAGGCGGGAGUGCUUGCCGAAAAAAUGUCAGGUAAUUAAAACAACCUACAACUAUUGUCUGGGAUAAAAGAAAAAAACAACUAACACAUGACAACUUUUGUCAUUUCUGUUUGAAAUAAAGGUGCCUUUCCUGGAGCAGAAAGUUUAAUAUAGUUUCUGAAUUAGUUAAUUAGGAUCUUCACCCACAUGAAUGAAUUUAAGUAGCAAAAUGAAAGACAAAAUUGGUUUGGUUGCAACAUUGAGAGAAUAUUACGUUUUUGAUACAUUAAAUUGUAAUGAAGCUAUAUUAAUGUGUCCGUUCAUAAAAAUGUAAGGAUGACAGCAAUUUUGUAAUAAUUCUCAAUUGGAGUAUAUUUUACAAUUGACAAACUAAAGUACACACUGUGAUAGGUCACAGGCGAUCUUUCAGUCACUAAUUAAACCUUUAUUGCAGUAGUGUGUAUUUUAAUUUUGAUGUACUGUAACCGUGUUUUUCAUUUUGGUAAAAUCAGCAGGCUUUAACAAACUGACCGCGCUUAAAGAGUUAAUCUCCCGAUUACACCAAAUCAAUUUAAGGAGCAUGUAAAUAAAUUAUUAUUUAAAUAAUAAUGAGUGAUGCUGAAACCGAAAAUAAAAGACGUGCGAAAAGAAAAGUAAACUAGUAUUUACGUUCGAAUGGACGCUAACUAUUACGAUAAAACCGGAAGGUCGGAGCUCGAGCGCUGCUUCAUGUUGUCAUUUCCGGUCUGAGAGCUGCGAUAUUGCGUCACUUCCUGUCUGCGGGAUGGGUACUGAGACGAGCGGCGCAGGGUACUGAGAGAGGCGGG